UGGGCAAUCUGCCCUUCACAUCGGAAUAACCAUUGGAAACGAUGGCUAAUACCGAAUAUGACUUCGGAUCGCAUGAUCUGAAGUGGAAAGCUCCGGCGGUGAAGGAUGAGCUCGCGGCCUAUCAGCUUGUUGGUGAGGUAAUAGCUCACCAAGGCGAUGACGGGUAGCCGGCCUGAGAGGAUGACCGGCCACACUGGGACUGAGACACGGCAGA
rnacentral:rRNA from 1 species